rnacentral:rRNA from 1 species
CCUACGGGUGGCAGCAGUGGGGAAUAUUGGACAAUGGGGGCAACCCUGAUCCAGCCAUGCCGCGUGUGUGAAGAAGGCCCUCGGGUUGUAAAGCACUUUCAGUGAGGAAGAACGCCUGGUGGUUAAUACCCAUCAGGAAAGACAUCACUCACAGAAGAAGCACCGGCUAACUCCGUGCCAGCAGCCGCGGUAAUACGGAGGGUGCGAGCGUUAAUCGGAAUUACUGGGCGUAAAGCGCGCGUAGGUGGCUUGAUGAGCCGGUUGUGAAAGCCCCGGGCUCAACCUGGGAACGGCAUCCGGAACUGUCAAGCUAGAGUGCAGGAGAGGAAGGUAGAAUUCCCGGUGUAGCGGUGAAAUGCGUAGAGAUCGGGAGGAAUACCAGUGGCGAAGGCGGCCUUCUGGACUGACACUGACACUGAGGUGCGAAAGCGUGGGUAGCAAACAGGAUUAGAUACCCUAGUAGUC